GGCGGGGCGCGAGGCAGCCGCCGGCGCGCUCGACGCGCAGGAGGAAAGUCCGGGCUUCACGGGACCGGGACGGUGGGUAACGCCCACCCCCUCGCGCAAGCGGGGGAGGGACAGUGCCACAGAAAACAUACCGCCCCGAGCGAGGGCCGCGAGGCCCUCGUCGAGGGGUAAGGGUGAAAAGGUGCGGUAAGAGCGCACCGCUCCGCGGGUGACCGCGGAGGCACGGCAAACCCCGUCCGGAGGAAGGCCAAAUGAGGGGGAGGACGCGGCCGCAAGGCCACGGACCCGGCGCGGCACCCGGCCGGAUUCCCCCUGGGUAGGCCGUUCGAGCCCAUCCGCGAGGGUGGGCCUAGAGGAAUGGCUGCCGCCCGACGGUCGGCGACGAUCGACGGGACAGGACCCGGCUUAUAGCGCCCUGUCGUUU
rnacentral:RNase_P_RNA from 1 species